CAGGUCUUGACAUCCCGCUGACCGCCAUGGAGACAUGGCUUUCCCUUCGGGGACAGCGGUGACAGGUGGUGCAUGGUUGUCGUCAGCUCGUGUCGUGAGAUGUUGGGUUAAGUCCCGCAACGAGCGCAACCCUUGUCCUUAGUUGCCAUCAUUCAGUUGGGCACUCUAAGGAGACUGCCGUACAAAUACGGAGGAAGGUGGGGAUGACGUCAAAUCAUCAUGCCCCUUAUGACCUGGGCUACACACGUGCUACAAUGGGUGGUACAAAGGGCAGCGAACCCGCGAGGGGGAGCGAAUCCCAAAAAGCCACUCUCAGUUCGGAUUGCAGGCUGCAACUCGCCUGCAUGAAGCCGGAAUCGCUAGUAAUCGCGGAUCAGCAUGCCGCGGUGAAUACGUUCCCGGGCCUUGUACACACCGCCCGUCACACCACGAGAGUCUGUAACACCCGAAGU
rnacentral:rRNA from 1 species